UACGAAGGGGGCUAGCGUUGCUCGGGAUUACUGGGCGUAAAGGGAGCGUAGGCGGACAUUUAAGUCAGAGGUGAAAUCCCGGAGCUCAACUCCGGAACUGCCUUUGAUACUGGGUGUCUUGAGUGUGAGAGAGGUAUGUGGAACUCCGAGUGUAGAGGUGAAAUUCGUAGAUAUUCGGAAGAACACCAGUGGCGAAGGCGACAUACUGGCUCAUUACUGACGCUGAGGCUCGAAAGCGUGGGGAGCAAACAGG
rnacentral:rRNA from 1 species